AAAGACUGUCUAUGGCUGAACAUGCCUGAUCUUGUCUGAUCUCAGAAGCUAAGCAGGGUUGGGACUGGUUAGGACUUGGCUGGGAGAAUUCAAAAGACUGACUUUU
rnacentral:rRNA from 1 species